UUGUCUUUUCCUGAUGGAAUAAUAAAAUCAUUGAAAUACAAAAAAAUCUGAUCUUAUCAGUUUAAUAUCUGAUAUGUCCCCCAUAGGGGGACCCGUCUAUUAAAUUGAUUUUUGGAAGCAGGAGAUAGAACCGGGGCUUGCUCCAUCCACUCCAUGCAUCGACACGGUAUUGCAGUACCUCCGGGAACGGUGCACAAAAA